rnacentral:rRNA from 1 species
UACGAAGGGGGCUAGCGUUGUUCGGAUUUACUGGUCGUAACGCGCACGUAGGCGGAUCUUUAAGUCGGGGGUGAAAUCCUGGAGCUCAACUCCAGAACUGCCUUCGAUACUGGCGAUCUUGAGUCCGGAAGAGGUGAGUGGAACUCCUAGUGUAGAGGUGGAAUUCGUAGAUAUUAGGAAGAACACCAGUGGCGAAGGCGGCUCACUGGUCCGGUACUGACGCUGAGGUGCGAAAGCGUGGGGAGCAAACAGG